UUCCUUACACGACGCACUUCUGUCGGUUUAGCUGAUUUCUCUUGCUCUUUAACCACGUCGUGAGUUUUCGAUUUCUUAACGUUCAAGGAAACUUCUUGCUUAAUUUGCUCACUUUGCUUGACUGAUUUUUCCACAAC